rnacentral:rRNA from 1 species
UACGUAGGGGGCAAGCGUUGUCCGGAAUCAUUGGGCGUAAAGAGCGUGUAGGCGGCCCGAUAAGUCCGCCGUGAAAGUCCAGGGCUCAACCCUGGAAUGCCGGUGGAAACUGUCGGGCUGGAGUCCGGAAGAGGAGAGUGGAAUUCCCGGUGUAGCGGUGAAAUGCGCAGAUAUCGGGAAGAACACCCGUGGCGAAGGCGGCUCUCUGGGACGGUACUGACGCUGAGACGCGAAAGCGUGGGGAGCGAACAGG